CCUACGGGUGGCAGCAGUGGGGAAUAUUGGGCAAUGGGCGCAAGCCUGACCCAGCAACGCCGCGUGCAGGAAGAAGGCUUUCGGGUUGUAAACUUCUUUUAUCAGGGACGAAGCAAGUGACGGUACCUGAUGAAUAAGCCACGGCUAACUACGUGCCAGCAGCCGCGGUAAUACGUAGGUGGCAAGCGUUAUCCGGAUUUACUGGGUGUAAAGGGCGUGUAGGCGGGAAAGCAAGUCAGAUGUGAAAACCAUGGGCUCAACCUGUGGCCUGCAUUUGAAACUGUUUUUCUUGAGUACUGGGGAGGCAGACGGAAUUCCGAGUGUAGCGGUGAAAUGCGUAGAUAUUAGGAGGAACACCAGUUGCGAAGGCGGCCUGCUGGACAGCAACUGACGCUGAGGCGCGAAAGCGUGGGGAGCAAACAGGAUUAGAUACCCCGGUAGUC
rnacentral:rRNA from 1 species